GACGAACGCUGGCGGCGUGCUUAACACAUGCAAGUCGAACGCUGAAGCCCUUCGGGGUGGAUGAGUGGCGAACGGGUGAGUAACACGUGGGUAAUCUGCCCUGCACUCUGGGAUAAGCCUUGGAAACGGGGUCUAAUACCGGAUAGGACACAUCGCCACAUGGUGUGUGUGUGGAAAGUUCCGGCGGUGCAGGUUGAGCCCGCGGCCUAUCAGCUUGUUGGUGGGGUGAUGGCCUACCAAGGCGACGACGGGUAGCCGGCCUGAGAGGGUGACCGGCCACACUGGGACUGAGACACGGCCCGGACUCCUACGGGAGGCAGCAGUGAGGAAUCUUGCGCAAUGGGCGAAAGCCUGACGCAGCAACGCCGCGUGGGGGAUGACGGCCUUCGGGUUGUAAACCUCUUUCGACCGGGACGAAGGAUUCGUUUGACGGUACCGGUAGAAGAAGCACCGGCUAACUACGUGCCAGCAGCCGCGGUAA
rnacentral:rRNA from 1 species